GAUGAACGCUGGCGGCGCGCCUAACACAUGCAAGUCGAACGGCACCCACCUCCGGGUGGAAGCGAGUGGCGAACGGCUGAGUAACACGUGGAGAACCUGCCCCCUCCCCCGGGAUAGCCGCCCGAAAGGACGGGUAAUACCGGAUACCCCGGGGUGCCGCAUGGCACCCCGGCUAAAGCCCCGACGGGAGGGGAUGGCUCCGCGGCCCAUCAGGUAGACGGCGGGGUGACGGCCCACCGUGCCGACAACGGGUAGCCAGGUUGAGAGACCGACCGGCCAGAUUGGGACUGAGACACGGCCCAGACUCCUACGGGAGGCAGCAGUGGGGAAUCUUGCGCAAUGGGGGGAACCCUGACGCAGCGACGCCGCGUGCGGGACGGAGGCCUUCGGGUCGUAAACCGCUUUCAGCAGGGAAGAGUCAAGACUGUACCUGCAGAAGAAGCCCCGGCUAACUACGUGCCAGCAGCCGCCGUAAGAC
rnacentral:rRNA from 1 species